rnacentral:tRNA from 1 species
GCCGCUCUAGCUCAGUUGGUAGAGCACAUCCUUGGUAAGGAUGAGGUCGUCGGUUCGAUUCCGAUGGGCGGCUCCA